rnacentral:rRNA from 1 species
UAAGCGGAGGAAAAGAAACCAACAGGGAUUGCCCCAGUAACGGCGAGUGAAGCGGCAACAGCUCAGAUUUGAAAUCUGGCCCCCCGGGGUCCGAGUUGUAAUCUGCAGAGGAUGCUUCUGGUGAGGUGCCUUCCGAGUCCCCUGGAACGGGGCGCCACAGAGGGUGAGAGCCCCGUAUGGUUGGACGCCGAGCCUCUGUGAAGCUCCUUCGACGAGUCGAGUAGUUUGGGAAUGCUGCUCUAAAUGGGAGGUAAAUUUCUUCUAAAGCUAAAUACCGGCCAGAGACCGAUAGCGCACAAGUAGAGUGAUCGAAAGAUGAAAAGCACUUUGAAAAGAGGGUUAAAAAGCACGUGAAAUUGCUGAAAGGGAAGCGCUUGUGACCAGACUUGCACCCGGCGGAUCAACCGGCGUUCUCGCCGGUGCACUCCGCCGGGUCCAGGCCAGCAUCGGUUUCGCCAGGGGGACAAAAGCCUUGGGAACGUAGCUCCCUCCGGGGAGUGUUAUAGCCCGUGGCACAAUGCCCUUAGGCGGGACCGAGGCCCGCGCUCUGCAAGGAUGCUGGCGUAAUGGUCACCAGCGACCCGUCUUGAAACACGGACCAAGGAGUCAAGCAUUAGGGCGAGUCUUUGGGUGUAAAACCCGCAGGCGCAAUGAAAGUGAACGCAGGUGAGAGCUUCGGCGCAUCAUCGACCGAUCCUGAUGUUCUCGGAUGGAUUUGAGUAAGAGCCUUACCGCUUGGACCCGAAAGAUGGUGAACUAUGCCUGAAUAGGGUGAAGCCAGAGGAAACUCUGGUGGAGGCUCGCAGCGGUUCUGACGUGCAAAUCGAUCGUCAAAUUUGGGCAUGGGGGCGAAAGACUAAUCGAACCAUCUAGUAGCUGGUUACCG